rnacentral:misc_RNA from 1 species
GAUGAAGAACGUAGCGAAAUGCGAUAAGUAGUGUGAAUUGCAGAAUUCAGUGAAUCAUUGAAUCUUUGAACGCACAUUGCGCCCCUUGGUAUUCCAUGGGGCAUGCCUGUUCGAGCGUCAUUUGUACCUUCAAGCUCUGCUUGGUGUUGGGUGUUUGUCUCGCCUCUGCGCGUAGACUCGCCUCAAAACAAUUGGCAGCCGGCGUAUUGAUUUCGGAGCGCAGUACAUCUCGCGCUUUGCACUCAUAACGACGACGUCCAAAAGUACAUUUUUACACUCUUGACCUCGGAUCAGGUAGGGAUACCCGCUGAACUUAAGCAUAUCAAUAAGCGGAGGA